UUCUUUCUUAUCCUGGGUGAACAGUGCUCAGCUGAAGUGACUGCCCCACUGUCACUGACUCUCCAUUUGGUACUGUAUAACUCUGUGACUAUCAAGAAGCUUUGUUUUUUUUCCUAUCCCCAAAAGCUCUUUUUGGAAAAUUACCUACAAGAGCUGAAUUUUUAAGCACAUUUACUUGAUAGGAAGCAACAGAAAGGUAAGAGUCAAGUUUGUAAAGAGAAGAGCUGGACUUCAG
rnacentral:lncRNA from 1 species